rnacentral:rRNA from 1 species
UACGAAGGGUGCAAGCGUUAAUCGGAAUUACUGGGCGUAAAGGGUGCGUAGGCGGUUCGUUAAGUCUGUCGUGAAAUCCCCGGGCUCAACCUGGGAAUGGCGAUGGAUACCGGCGAGCUAGAGUGUGUCAGAGGAUGGUGGAAUUCCCAGUGUAGCGGUGAAAUGCGUAGAGAUCGGGAGGAACAUCAGUGGCGAAGGCGGCCAUCUGGGACAACACUGACGCUGAAGCACGAAAGCGUGGGGAGCAAACAGG